GACGAACGCUGGCGGCGUGCUUAACACAUGCAAGUCGAGCGGUAAGGCUCCUUCGGGAGUACACGAGCGGCGAACGGGUGAGUAACACGUGAGCAAUCUGCCCUUCACAUCGGAAUAACCUCGGGAAACCGAGGCUAAUACCGGAUACGACCAUCGAUGGCAUCAUCUGAUGGUGGAAAGUUCCGGCGGUGGAGGAUGAGCUCGCGGCCUAUCAGCUUGUUGGGGGGUAAUGGCCUACCAAGGCGACGACGGGUAGCCGGCCUGAGAGGUGACCGGCCACACUGGGACUGAGACACGGCCCAGACUCCUACGGGAGGCAGCAGUGGGGAAUAUUGGACAAUGGGCGAAAGCCUGAUCCAGCAACGCCGCGUGAGGGAUGACGGCCUCGG
rnacentral:rRNA from 1 species